GGCCUAGACUCAUGAGCUGCAGCCCAACUUUCACUAAGGGAUUUGAUGAGAACCAGAAUACAGAAAUAGAGUACAAGGUAUGAGAAUAAGAAAAAUACUUUGAUUAAUACUGAAAUAGAAGAAACAGAAAUACAAUAGCUACUGCUAUUGUCCCAGAGUAAGACUCCUGUAGAAGAAGAGACUCUCUUCACUCUACUCUUAACAACCUAUUUCUCAUCAUACCCCAACCCUCAUCCUAACAGAAACUUAUAUAGGAAACCUUCUCUCACUCUUUUGCACCUUCCUACCCGCAAAAGGCGUAACUAACUGUGCCAGCUCACUCCUCAAAAGAUUCCCCUCCUCUCUUAUUCUUUCUAACAUAAACUUUCCAUAUUUUGGGCCUAGACUCAUGAGCUGCAGCCCAACUUUCACUAAGGGUUCUAUCAAUGCCACCCGCUGGAGAAGCAACCUUGUCCUCAAGGUUGAAAGCGGGAAAUUGAUUUAAAAUGGUUGACUCCUCUUCCCAAGUGGCUUCAUCUGCUGACUUGUCAGUCCACUGAAUAAGAAAUUGUUUCACGGGUGCUCCGUGUUGGUGGAUCAUGCGAGUAGCUAACACUGUACUUGGUUGUACUGAUGGAGGAAGCUCCCCUGCAAGUCCCUCUGGCAAUUCCUUCUCUACUUGGUAAUUCCCGACUGCCUUCUUCAAGAGUGAAACAUGGAAGACGGGAUGGAUGCGAGAAGUGUCGGGAAGACGAAGUUUAUACGCCACUGCGCCUAUACGUUCCAGCACUUCAAAAGGACCAUAAAAUCGUGGAGAAAGCUUUGGGUUGAUCCUUUGUGCCACUGAUUGCUGGCGGUGGGGACGGAGUUUCACAAAAACCCAUUCACCUACCUCAAAAUGCUUAUCCUUGCGCUUCUUAUCUGCCUGCGAUUUCAUGUAACCCUGAGCACGAAGGAGAUGGCUUCGUAGCUGUCGCAACGCUUCAUCUCUGUCUAUCAACUCACGAGCUACAGCUUCAACCUUUGUCUCUCCAACAGUGAAACGAAGCAAGGUAGGAGGAACGCGACCGUAGACCACCUCAAAAGGCGUGACUCCUGUGGAAGAGUGAUAGGUAGUGUUGUACCAGUACUCCGCCCAAGGAAGCCAAUGGAGCCAUGUGCGUGGCUGGUCCGCGAUAAAACAACGCAGAUAUGUUUCCAAACAUCGAUUAAUGACUUCAGUUUGGCCAUCCGUUUCAGGAUGAUAUGCCGUGCUCAUGGUCAGAUGUGUCCCUUGGAGCUUAAAGAGUUCCACCCAGAAAUUGCUCACAAAUAUAGGAUCUCGAUCACUGACUAUGGAGCGUGGAACUCCAUGCAAACGCACUAUUUCUUUAGCAAAAGCUUCAGCUACUCCUCUGGCAGAGAAAGGAUGACGUAAGGGAAUGAAAUGCGCGUAUUUGGACAACCGAUCCACCACCACAAAAACAGUAUCAGUGCCUUUUACCUUGGGCAACCCAGUUAUGAAAUCCAUGGAAAGCUCAUCCCAAAUUUUGUCUGGAAUUGGCAAUGGUUGGAGCAAGCCCCCUGGCGACGUUGCCAAGUAUUUCUGCCUUUGACACACAUCACAGGAUUGCACGAAUUGUUGAACCCGUCCCUUCAUUCCGAUCCAGUACACGUUCGCAGCAAGUCUUCGAUAUGUGCGAUAAAAUCCCGAGUGUCCACCCUGUGGGGUUGCAUGAAACUCCUUGAGGAGCUGAGGAAUCCAGCGAGAUGAAGCAGAAAUCACUAUACGUUGUGCAUAGUACAACACACCUUGUUCAUAGGUGAACCCUGGUUUACUGGAUGGAUCUUUUUGUAGUGCUGCAAUAAUUGCAGCCAGCUUCUCAUCCUGAUGAGCUUCUUGAACCAACUCUUUCCCUUCCGACCAAUGAGGAUAAGAAAUUAUGGAUUGGAACUCACCCUCCUCAAAUCGCCGAGACAAGGCAUCAGCCCCUUUGUUAGUUGGGCCAGGCUUGUAUAUGAUAUCAAAGCGAUAUCCCAGGAGUUUGGCAGCCCAAUUUUGCUGGUCCACCGUUGUAAUGCGUUGAUGGAGUAAUUGACGCAAACUUUUCUGGUCAGUAUACACAGUAAAUUCCCUUCCGAGCAAGUAAGGGCGCCAAUGUUGCACAGCCAACACUAUGGCCAUUAGUUCCUUCUCAUAUGCAGACUUAGACAAAUUCCUGGGACUCAAAGCUUUACUGAAAUAAGCUAUGGGUCUGCCCUGCUGGAGUAAUAUGGCUCCAACUCCAUUUCCAGAAGCAUCACUUUCUAUGGAGAAAGGUUUAGAAAAGUCAGGCAACGCGAGCACUGGUUCUGUUACCAUGUAUGCUUUGAGGGUCUCGAAGGCUUGCUGGGCUUGGGGAGUCCAUUUGAAACCCUCUUUCUUGGUAAGGUCAGUCAAAGGACGAGCAAUCUUGCCAUAGUCCUGUACAAAUUUGCGAUAGUACCCAGUUAAUCCAAGAAAACCACGAACUCCCUUAGUGUUCUUCGGUACAGGCCAUGAAGUAAUGCUCUGAAUUUUGCUUGGAUCCAUGGCUACCCCCUUCUGUGAAACUACAUGACCCAAAUACUCCACAGAAUUCUGAGCAAAAUUACACUUCUUACGGUUGGCAACCAAGCUUUGUGCUCGCAAUCUCUCAAAAACUGUGGUCAGAUGCUGCAAAUGCAAUUCCCAAUUUGAGCUGUACACCAAGAUGUCGUCGAAGAAAACUAGCACACUUCGACGCAAGAGAUCUCGGAAAACUUCAUUCAUUAAGGCCUGGAAAGUGGAGGGAGCAUUCAUCAAACUGAAAGGCAUUACGAGGUAUUCAUAAUGCCCCUCAUGAGUGCGAAAUGCAGUUUUAUGCACAUCUUCCUCUUUCACCAAUACUUGAUGAUAUCCCGAUUUGAGAUCGAGUUUGGAGAAAUAUCUAGCUCCAUGUAACUCAUCCAAUAGCUCAUCAAUCACUGGAAUUGGGAACUUGUCGGGAAUCGUCGCCUUGUUAAGUUCACGAUAAUCCACACACAUCCGCCAUGUCCCAUCCUUCUUUUUCACCAGGAUCACGGGACUGGAAAAAGCGCUUUGACUAUGUCGAAUAAUCCCUGAUUUCAACAUUUCCAUAACUUGCUUCUCGAUCUCAUCCUUGUGGUGAUGAGAGUACCUGUAAGGUCUCACAUUCACCGGUCCUUGACCUGCUAUGAGAUUAAUUUGAUGGUCUUUCUGUCUCUUUGGAGGUAACCCGCUCUUUUCAGUGAAAAUGUCUCCAAAUUGCUUGAGGAGAGAUUCCAAUUGAUGUUGCUGUCCCAUUGAGAGCUCUGAGACUUCAUGGGGUUUCUGUGUAGAAUAUUCUUCCAGUGAUCCUCUACACCCCCCUUCAUGUUCCUCGUUCAGAUCAACCAACCUCUGCAAAGCCCACUGGUCAAGCUGCAUUCCCUUCUGUCCCUGCAAGAAGAAACUCUUGUCUGCGAGUUGGAACCGCAUAGUUUGUUUUUCCCAAUUGACUAACAUAUCUCCCAGAGUCAUUAACCAGGCUAUGCCCAGAACCAGAUCAAUUCCAUCCAAAUCAAACAGGAUUGUAUCCACAGAAGCAGUAUAAUCACCAAUUUCAAUUCCAACCUGUUCCACCUUACCCAUGGCCAUCACCUUGCUCCCAUCUCCCAAGAGGAUUCGCAUUUCUGGGGUGUUCUGUACCUCCCAUCCCAUAGCUGUCGCCACACGUUUGGACAAGAAGUUAUGCGUAGCCCCGCUAUCGACUAGAAUCAAGAUCGGCACGCCCUGAAUUUUCCCUUGUAGCUUCAUCGUGUGGGCUUGGAUGGGCUCAACUCCUAGUUUCAUAAUACUUAAUUCUCCAUCAAUUUCGGCUGCUUCUUCUUCUCCAACUUCCAGUAGAGAACUUCCUUCCUCGCCGUCGCCGCCCUCGUCAAUCAACAUGAAGCGGAGCUGUCUAUCGGGACAUUGGUGGAGGGGGUGGUAUUUGCCACCACACUUGAAACAGAGCCCCUUCUGCCGCCGGUCAAGGAGCUCUUGGUAGGGCAAGUGUCUGAUUCCUCUAUCGCGAUGGUUGGAACGCGUAGGGCCUGUGUCGUCGCGUUUUUCCUUUUUGUCAUCGCCGUUUUUCACCAUGACCCAGCCUUGGGUGGACUCACGACCCGUUGGGACUGGGACAGGAGCCGUUUGGUGGGCGGGUCGGGUAAAGGACCCGGUUCCUGGCCCAAAUCGAUUUCCGCCGGUUUUUUACCCGAAAGAGCGUCGACCCGGCCCAUGAAGCUCCGUCUCUAUUGCCCGAGCCAGAGGAAUCAAUCGCGAACGUGGUAGUGUUGUCAACGCUCGCAUACUGCGAACGCGUGCUCGUAUAUCUUCACGCAAUCCAUGGAUGAAGUAUCCAAAGAAUUGCUCAUCAGGCAGAUUCGGAGCCUGUGAUAACAAUCGUUCGAAUUCCACCACGUAUUCGUCAAUGGUUCCCUGUUGCUGUAGAUCUGAAAGCUGUUCGAAAACAUCCCCUUUGCUAGCGGUACCGUACCGUUCCAGAAGCUCGUUGGUGAGGCGUUCCCAGGUUAAACCUGGAUCCAGAUGCAGAAGUGAGUUGAAGUAGUGGAUCGUUGAUCCCUCCAUGCAUAGGUGAGCCAAGUUAACCUUGACCUCUGGGCUUGUACCCAUGACAUGGAAAUAGACCUCUGCGCGAGCUAUCCAUCCCGCUGGGUCUUCUCCAUUGAAAAGUGGCAGCUCCACCUUCUUGGCAGAUUUUCGAAACUCAUCCAGUUGGCCUCCAUCGAGUCUUGUCCAGCCAGAAGCUCCGGAUGUAACUCCUCUCUCUGCUCCAGAAGUACCAGGUGUACCUCCUUUCUCUGCUUCAGAUCGUGCAGGUGUACUCUGAUGAAGAGCACUUCCCGAAUCAUCUGCUUCCUGGGUCGGCUUGGAUAAUUUCUGGGUUAGAAGGUCAAUCAAGCGUGCCUGAUUGCUUUCUGCUUGUUCUUGCAUCGUGACAAGCGUUGAUCGGAGAUUCGCGACUUCCGUUUCCAGUGCUGCUACCUUCGCUUCCAUCUUCUUCUUCGGUGGCAUACGUUGUCAAAGCAAACGAUUAUGAACGCUGGUUUCCGUCACGCGAGUAUCCGGCAGGUCGGACCAAUUUGAUGAGAACCAGAAUACAGAAAUAGAGUACAAGGUAUGAGAAUAAGAAAAAUACUUUGAUUAAUACUGAAAUAGAAGAAACAGAAAUACAAUAGCUACUGCUAUUGUCCCAGAGUAAGACUCCUGUAGAAGAAGAGACUCUCUUCACUCUACUCUUAACAACCUAUUUCUCAUCAUACCCCAACCCUCAUCCUAACAGAAACUUAUAUAGGAAACCUUCUCUCACUCUUUUGCACCUUCCUACCCGCAAAAGGCGUAACUAACUGUGCCAGCUCACUCCUCAAAAGAUUCCCCUCCUCUCUUAUUCUUUCUAACAUAAACUUUCCAUAUUUUGGGCCUAGACUCAUGAGCUGCAGCCCAACUUUCACUAAGGGUUCUAUCAGAAGAUUUCAACAUGAUAUGUGGCUGUGCACAAUUAGAAACAGUCCAUAACACAUUAAUACAUAAGCAACUGUCGUAAAG
rnacentral:lncRNA from 1 species